ACGCUCGACACCUACGGGAUGCAGCAGUGGGGAAUAUUGGGCAAUGGGCGAAAGCCUGACCCAGCAACGCCGCGUGAGGGAAGAAGGUUUUCGGAUUGUAAACCUCUGUCCUCAGGGACGAAGGACGUGACGGUACCUGAGGAGGAAGCCCCGGCUAACUACGUGCCCGCAGCCGCGGUAAUACUGAGCGGGCGUGGCGAAGGCG
rnacentral:rRNA from 1 species